rnacentral:rRNA from 1 species
CAGCAGCCGCGGUAGUACGAAGGGGGCUAGCGUUGCUCGGAAUCACUGGGCGUAAAGGGUGCGUAGGCGGGUCUUUAAGUCAGGGGUGAAAUCCUGGAGCUCAACUCCAGAACUGCCUUUGAUACUGAAGAUCUUGAGUUCGGGAGAGGUGAGUGGAACUGCGAGUGUAGAGGUGAAAUUCGUAGAUAUUCGCAAGAACACCAGUGGCGAAGGCGGCUCACUGGCCCGAUACUGACGCUGAGGUGCGAAAGCGUGGGGAGCAAACAGGAUUAGAUACCCCAGUAGUCCCUGUCUCUUAUAC